rnacentral:rRNA from 1 species
UUGGAGGGCAAGUCUGGUGCCAGCAGCCGCGGUAAUUCCAGCUCCAAUAGCGUAUAUUAAAGUUGUUGCAGUUAAAAAGCUCGUAGUUGAAUUUCGGGAUCAAUUUAUUGGUCGUGCCAACGGUACGCACUGGUACGAUUGGUUUCUCCCUUCUGACGAAGCAUGAUGUCAUUAAUUUGAUGUCGUGGGGAAUCAGGACUGUUACUUUGAAAAAAUUAGAGUGUUUAAAGCAGGCUUUGGCUUGAAUACAUUAGCAUGGAAUAAUGAAAUAGGACGUUUGAUCUUAUUUCGUUGGUUUCUAAGAUCGACGUAAUGAUUAAUAGGGAUAGUUGGGGGCAUUAGUAUUCAAUUGUCAGAGGUGAAAUUCUUGGAUUUAUUGAAGACUAACUACUGCGAAAGCAUUUGCCAAGGAUGUUUUCAUUAAUCAAGAACGAAAGUUAGGGGAUCGAAGACGAUCAGAUACCGUCGUAGUCUUAACCAUAAACUAUGCCGACUAGGGAUCGGAUGAUGUUAAUUUUUUAAUGACUCAUUCGGCGCCUUACGGGAAAC